CAGCUUGAAGCAUGACAUCUGAGGAUGAUGAUGAUGAUGAUGAACUCUUUGCCAACUUUGAUACAGAUCAUAGGGAUGACUUAGUUAUGGAAUGGGCUAAGGGAGGUGUACUAGAUUUUCAACCUCUUGAACAUUUGCAGUCUAUUGAAUUCAUGCGACCUCCAGUUUCUUCCCUUGGUGUUUAUGACAAAUAUUCAGAUUCAUUGGAAUCUUCUAAGGUCAAUUUUAAGUUGGCUGCAGUUGAAGAAGCUCUUGCACUAUCAAUAUGGACAACCACAACAAGUUGUCGUGUUCUAUCCCUCGAAAGUGUAAGAAUAAUUGGGCUACAAUUUGGCUGUGUUAAUGUUGAGUUUCAGCACUAAAAUGUGCUUCAUCAAAUAAUUUUGCAUUUUUAUAGGGAUUUGGAGUUUGAUAAAUAAUGCUUCUUCCAAGUCUUGUCACUGCUCACAGGUGUAUUGCUGGAAAAACAAGUAGUUGUUGUGUGUCCAAACUUAGAUUACUAUCAGCUACUGUUUUGUCUCUCAUUCCCAUGAUUCUUCCCUUUCAGUGGCAGAGUUUAAUGCUUCUUGUAUUGCCAGGAAGAAUGGCUGAAUUUCUUUAUGCACCAGUCCCCUUUAUUGUGAGCUUUUACCUUUUUUUGUUUUUUUAUAUGUAAUAUACAUAAUCUGCAUAACAAUGUCAAAUUCACUGCUAAACAGCCCAAGGACUUAGCUGCCCUUUAUAAUCAUUUUCAGGUUGGAUUGCUAAACAAACCCAAUGAUUUCAAAAUGAAAACAUCCAAUCUUGUUCAGAAAGCCAUCAAAUACUCCAAAAUGUUUGUUCUUCUUGUAUUAUAGAACAUGCUGAGUUGGUCUUUGGUUUGUCCAAUUUUAUUAUCUUGGCUUUUAAUUAUUUUUUUCCUUCUAAUUUCUUGGCUUCUUUUAUUUUUAUUUUUUACUAUUGAUUAAUAAUCUUGCGCAUUGCAUUUUUUGUGAAAUUGGAUUUUGAUGAUUUUCAUUAAGUGACUAACUAAAUUGGUACUUGGAAAAAUUGAUAUUCAUGGGACAUGUUUGGCUUUGAUGGUGUUUUGUAAUUCUUUGGCUCUUGGUUGCUAGAUACUACUAAUUGUCAUUGAUGAAACAUAUAUUCUCGUUUAUGUCUAUAGUACGUUGAUUUAAUUUACUCCUCAAUGUCCUGAAGGGAUACGAAUGGAAGGAAAAGGCCGGGAAUCUAGAACUGGAGCUUCAGCAAUGUUACAAAGCUCAAUCUCGUAUGUCAGAGCAACUUGUGGUGGAAGUAGCUGAGUCCAGAGCUUCAAAAGCCACACUUCAAGAAAAAUAAGUUGCACUUGUUGAUGCACAGGAAAAGUUGAAUCAAACAAGGUAACCUACUUCUUCUAAAUAGCUAGGGAGAAGCUUUUGAGAGUUCAAGGUUUUUCUAUAGGUGAUUCCCAUUUAGUUAUAUGCUUCAGGGAUGAGUGCUCUUAGUUGAAGGCAGGCUUAGAGAAAAAGAUUAAAGCUCUGGAACUGGUAGUGAGAACAUAGAAAUUAGAGCGCAGCUAGAACAGUUGAGUAUUAAAGCUAAAACUGUGAAGGCUAAAAAUAAGAUGUUAAUAGAUCGCUGGAUGCUUGAAAAAAUGAAGCAUGUUGAACGCCUUAAUGAGGUAAAUGCAUUAAUGUUGUAGUGUCUAACAACUGGAACUUUUGUAUAUUUAGAUACAAUACCACUUUGGGGACUCUAGAGUUCAAAGUGUGGACAUGUGUGUUUACAAUACAAGAUUGAUAUAUUAUGGGUUCUUGAAUAUACCCUGGUUUUCUUUUUUUCUUAGGUUAAAUUUUGAGGAUUCUUAAAGCAGGUUUGCUAGAGUUCUCAUGCCUUCGACUAGAUUUCAAUCAAAACUUCUAGAAUAUGCUAUGAUUUGAUAAUAUUGGAUUGGACUGGAUCUGGAGAUAUUAUUGUAGAUGGAUACUUCAUUUCAAGUGAUCCAGAAGUGAUCCAGAAGAUGAGGUCCAUCAUGUUCCUCUUGGUCCAAAUGCCAUGAAAGUGGGAAUAUAUUUGGCAAGCAAACCCAAUGCA